rnacentral:rRNA from 1 species
ACUCCUACGGGAGGCAGCAGUGGGGAAUAUUGGGCAAUGGGCGCAAGCCUGACCCAGCGACGCCGCGUGAGGGAUGAAGGCCUUCGGGUUGUAAACCUCUUUCAGUAGGGAAGAAGCGAAAGUGACGGUACCUAAAGAAGAAGCACCGGCUAACUAUGUGCCAGCAGCCGCGGUAAUAC